rnacentral:rRNA from 1 species
AAGACCUUGCACUUUUGGAGCGGCCGAUGUCUGAUUAGCUAGUUGGUGGGGUAAUGGCCUACCAAAGCUUCGAUCAGUAGCUGGUCUGAGAGGACGGCCAGCCACACUGGGACUGAGACACGGCCCAGACUCCUACGGGAGGCAGCAGCGGGGAAUUUUGGACAAUGGGCGCAAGCCUGAUCCAGCCAUGCCGCGUGAGUGAAGAAGGCCUUCGGGUUGUAAAGCUCUUUCAGCCGGGAAGAAAAGGCUGCGACUAAUAAUCGCAGUUCAUGACGGUACCGGAAGAAGAAGCACCGGCUAACUACGUGCCAGCAGCCGCGGUAAUACGUAGGGUGCGAGCGUUAAUCGGAAUUACUGGGCGUAAAGGGUGCGCAGGCGGUUUUGUAAGUCAGAUGUGAAAUCCUCGGGCUUAACCUGGGAACU